AGAAGAAGAAGAAGAAGAAGAAGGUAAGAAGGCGAGGAAGGUGAUAAGAAAGAAAGGAAAAAAGGACGAGGAAGAGGGACCCCCGUGCUCGUUCCUCUCCUCUGUCGUGAAGCGUGGGAAUAGGAGUUGCAAACGAGUAUUUUCAAUAAGAGGAACGUCGAUUAUUCGCUGACCGAGGGAUUAUUUAUUAUCCGAGUGAUUUAAGAUACCAAGUUGUAAACUUUUCUUUAAAAGGAAGUAAAUAGGAUAAUACGACGGCUUCUAAUUCUAGCGAGAUUUAUUUGUGAAGUUAUAGUUUAUUCCACAACCAGUUAAUGUCGCGCAAAAGGAUUUAUCAGUUAUCGUAACGUUGCGACUUUUAAAAUUUUUGACUGGAAUCUCUCUCACAAUUGUGCAAGAGGAUUUUGAAAUAUAUCUAAUCGUGCGUUCUAAUGAUAAAAAACAAAAAGAAAAAAAAAAAGGAUGAUAAAAAUAUCUUCGAAACAUUUCGUAUCGUAAUUCUUAAUUGUGCGUGUGAUGUAAUUCUCAAAGUUUAAAUAAAUCGUUGGACGAUUAA